UCCAGACUCCUACGGGAGGCAGCAGUGGGGAAUAUUGCACAAUGGGGGGAACCCUGAUGCAGCGACGCCGCGUGGGUGAAGGAGCGUUUCGGCGCGUAAAGCCCUGUCGGCAGGGAAGAAGGAGGACGGUACCUGACUAAGAAGCCCCGGCUAACUACGUGCCAGCAGCCGCGGUAAUACGUAGGGGGCAAGCGUUAUCCGGAUUUACUGGGUGUAAAGGGGGCGCAGACGGCAGCGCAAGCCAGGAGUGAAAGCCCGGGGCCCAACCCCGGGACUGCUCUUGGAACUGCGCGGCUGGAGUGCAGGAGGGGCAGGCGGAAUUCCUGGUGUAGCGGUGAAAUGCGUAGAUAUCAGGAGGAACACCGGUGGCGAAGGCGGCCUGCUGGACUGCGACUGACGUUGAGGCCCGAAAGCGUGGGGAGCAAACAGGAUUAGAUACCCGAGUA
rnacentral:rRNA from 1 species